CUUACCAGAGAGGAUGGUUGAAACUAUGGAAAUGGAACUAAUCUCUCUUAGUGAUCUACAAACUACCACAACUUUAUCAAUCAAAUGUUGAAAUCAUGGAAGCAUUCCCCUGGCCAAAUUUAAUUUUGAAAUUGGACGAUGAAAGUGUUGGAGACGAUGAGCGAAGAAGAUGAAAGCUAUUAGAGAUAGAUGGAGGCUUAUGGGCGGUGGCCAGAGCUGCAUGAGCAUAAAUGAUUCUGGAUUCUACUAUUUUUUACCGAUUUCUUCAUUUCUUGGUUGCA